AUGGAGAAGAUGCGGAGACCUGUCCUAAUUAUAUUUUGUCUAUGUCUUGGCUGGGCAAAUGGAGAAAACCAGGUGGAGCACAGCCCUCAUUUUCUGGGACCCCAGCAGGGAGACGUUGCCUCCAUGAGCUGCACGUACUCUGUCAGUCGUUUUAACAAUUUGCAGUGGUACAGGCAAAAUACAGGGAUGGGUCCCAAACACCUAUUAUCCAUGUAUUCAGCUGGAUAUGAGAAGCAGAAAGGAAGACUAAAUGCUACAUUACUGAAGAAUGGAAGCAGCUUGUACAUUACAGCCGUGCAGCCUGAAGAUUCAGCCACCUAUUUCUGUGCUGUAGAUG